rnacentral:rRNA from 1 species
UACGAAGGGGGCUAGCGUUGCUCGGAAUCACUGGGCGUAAAGCGCACGUAGGCGGGUCCUUAAGUCGGGGGUGAAAUCCUGGAGCACAACUCCAGAACUGCCUUCGAUACUGAGGAUCUCGAGUCCGGGAGAGGUGAGUGGAACUCCGAGUGUAGAGGUGAAAUUCGUAGAUAUUCGGAAGAACACCAGUGGCGAAGGCGGCUCACUGGCCCGGUACUGACGCUGAGGUGCGAAAGCGUGGGGAGCAAACAGG